rnacentral:rRNA from 1 species
GAUGAACGCUAGCUACAGGCUUAACACAUGCAAGUCGAGGGGAAACGGCAUUGAGUGCUUGCACUCUUUGGACGUCGACCGGCGCACGGGUGAGUAACGCGUAUCCAACCUUCCCAUUACUGUGGGAUAACCUGCCGAAAGGCAGACUAAUACCGCAUAGUCUUCGAUGACGGCAUCAGAUUUGAAGUAAAGAUUUAUCGGUAAUGGAUGGGGAUGCGUCUGAUUAGCUUGUUGGCGGGGUAACGGCCCACCAAGGCUACGAUCAGUAGGGGUUCUGAGAGGAAGGUCCCCCACAUUGGAACUGAGACACGGUCCAAACUCCUACGGGAGGCAGCAGUGAGGAAUAUUGGUCAAUGGACGGAAGUCUGAACCAGCCAAGUAGCGUGCAGGAAGACGGCCCUAUGGGUUGUAAACUGCUUUUGUAUGGGGAUAAAGUUAGGGACGUGUCCCUAUUUGCAGGUACCAUACGAAUAAGGACCGGCUAAUUCCGUGCCAGCAGCCGCGGUAAUACGGAAGGUCCAGGCGUUAUCCGGAUUUAUUGGGUUUAAAGGGAGCGUAGGCUGGAGAUUAAGUGUGUUGUGAAAUGUAGACGCUCAACGUCUGAAUUGCAGCGCAUACUGGUUUCCUUGAGUACGCACAACGUUGGCGGAAUUCGUCGUGUAGCGGUGAAAUGCUUAGAUAUGACGAAGAACUCCGAUUGCGAAGGCAGCUGACGGGAGCGCAACUGACGCUUAAGCUCGAAGGUGCGGGUAUCAAACAGG